CGUUUAACAUAUUCUCCUUGUAAAAUAGAAAAGCAUUGGCGGGAAGCAUAGUGAAACAAAAUGAAGUAGUAUUUACAUACGAAUGCACAAUUUGCAUAAUACAGUUAAGAAUAUAGGUUCAUGAAACGUAUUGGACCAAUACACUCUUAGUCGACAAGACGCCAUUAAACACAAACACUAUAGAAAGGAGGGAAAACAAUGGAUGACAUAUUGAAAUAAAUCGACACGUGUUCAUUAAUUAAGGAAUUUACACGUUAACAUCGAACUGCAUAGCGAGAGGGGGAGGAAGAGGAGGGUAGUUUUCUAUGGGAUACGAUUUCCUGCUCGGCUUUCCGUACAUCUUCCCUUUCUUUCAUCCCCGGAUCCAAGAGGGUGGAGGAAAAACGAGCAUCCAGAGGGUAAUCGGGAGAAGGAAUUCCGAGAAUAUUUCCUGAGAUUCAUAGCAAAUGAAGGCGUAGUUCUAACUAGUGAAACGCUUACUAAUUAACAAGCUCACACGGACCAGAUCAUUAUAAGGGUUACGAGCCUCCUGUAUAUGUUGCUAGUGAGAAGAUCCGUUUGGAAGGGUAUGAAAUUUCCAAGGGAAGGCGUGAAACAACGUUGAAAGUGGAGUCAGGUGAAAAGAACAGCCGCCGGGGGCCAUGAUGGCUCUGACCUUUCUCGCUUAUCUGCGGCCUGAGAGAGAGAUACCGGGUCAAUACUUCUCGGGAGGGUUUCCACGAGGAAAGAGGGGAUUCGCUUGGCCACCCCUCGUUCCUCUGCUCGCCAACGAUUGGCGGUGGCAGGAGGCUGGGUGGUGGUCCUGCGAGGCUGCAAACUAACAGAUAGGUAUUUGAUUGUACGAAACAACUUUCCUUGCCUUUAUAUCCGACCGACUGGUUAAGCGAGGAAACAUCUUUUCAUGUACCUAUGUCAAUAUACAUUAUUAUUUUUUCGUCUCUUGCAUGACUGAGAAAUUAGGAGUUAAUUAGUUUAGUUCGUUUUACAAUUCGUUGAUUUAGGAUCUCCUCACUAGUAAAGUCAUUGAUGAUUUUUACUGACUAAAAAAUUUUAUUUACAGUGAUAUUUACAAAAGUAUAAAAAUUGGAAUAAAACCCUUGACGCUCUUCAUUAAUAUUAUACAAGGUAUCCACUAACUGAUGAUGGCACUAUACAACCAGAAAAUCUCUUAUCUCCUGAAAAAUAAUUAAGAGUCCCAGGAAUACAAUAUUAAAUUUCAUUUCAAUGAUUAUGAUUUAUCUUUUCUCGGUUUAACUCGACUGGGAGCUGGAUAACAACUCACCACACCUCGUUUCGAAGCUCGACGACGAUUGGUCCUGGCAGAUCCCGAAGGAUGGGGAUGGAAAAGGUAACAGGGAGAUGAAAGCGCGAGGAAACGUUGCGGGGUGCCGUCGAGGGAUGCUAAGGACGGAAAGAAAGUUAGCCGAUUGGAGAGACGAGGACAAAAGUAUUCGCCCUUGAGAUCGGUGGAGGAUGAGACUCCUCGUGAAACGCCAUCAUCAAGCAUUCAUAAGGUGUAGCAGCCUGUUUAUCAGAGGAAUACUUUGCAGUAGAUUCCUUGGGAAUAACUGGCUGUUACGUGCUCUCUAUACGAACAAGAAAGCUUUUAAAAAAAAUAAUAUCUUCUUGCUCUUCAGUUUUAUGUUAAAGGAAAAUUAGAUUUCUUCGGACGACCUGGAUGAAAAAGUGCGAUUCAGCUGUAGCUAUCUGGAAAAUUGAUGGUCCUGCGAGAUGACUCUUUUAUCCUCUCUUUCAACAACUAAUGAUGUGGGCUGAACGGUCCUUCAUCCCGUACCAUCCGCGUGAACACGAAGGAAUCGUCAUCAUCCAUCACAAUCGAAUCUAUAUCCUGACACCGUUCGAUUUUUUUCUAAUACACUGAAAAUAAUCCCCGUUGGAUCAGAUAGAAAAUUGCUUUCACGAGCGCACCGCUACGGCUGAUGGUAAUUCGAAAUCCCUGGCUGACAUAAAAUUGCUCGACGAAUGGUGCAGCAUAUGCGUGAAUGUAACCCCCUGUUUUCGAGGGGCUGUUGUCACCAACGGUGGCUGUGUCCGUUUUGUCAUUGGAAUUUGAUGAUCCACCGUCCCAUGGGGGCCUGGCUACAUAAAUAUUUGCCUGGGAUCCUUUGGAAUACGUUUUGCUUUCGAUGAUGGAUAAUUAUUCCAAUUAGCAUACAAUUAAGAAGACUGAUUUAUUUAAAAAAAAAAAAGGAAUUUGUCUUGGUCAUGAAUUGUCACGCGUAACAAAGGCCAGAUUACAAGCUGAACGAUUUCAUGCUCGAUUAAUUUCAUUAACAAGGAUCAACCCUUCCUUUCCCUUGUUCUGUGCGUGACAGCAGGGGAGCAGAGUUAGGAGUAUCAAAUAUUCGUAUUAAUUAUGGAAACAUCAAACUAUGAAUAUCAAAUUUCAAGUAUCGAAUAUGAAAUAGCGAAUAUCCUAUAAUUCAUAGACUGCUCUUAUUGAUUUUCAUAGUAAUGCAAAGGUAAUAUAUUUGAAUUGAAGAAUUUCAGUAAUUAAUUUUCGACGGAAAGAGACUCCGAGAAUAUCAUCGUCAUCGUCAUCGUCGUCAUUCUGUUGGAAACCGGAGAGAGUACGUUGGAGCAGAAAUUCCUAUAAACGCAUCGAACAAAUUCGAAAGUCGUGGAAUUAAUUUAAUCGUGAGACUGGCACACGACGAUACUCCACGUCAAAAUGUCGUCGUUAUCAACGUCCUGUUCACCUCUCAGCUGACAUACCAUAAAUCGCGCAUUGACGUGCACCCGCAAAAAAAUCGAACCAGAACGAGAGAGACCAGGACCGUCCUCUCUUGCAAUCUCCAGGAAAAUGAACGCCAUAAAUAAGCACGGUCGGCCAAUAAUUCCGUCGCGAUCGAGCAACAAGAGUUUUUCAUCGGUGCAGCCAGAACGGGGUAGUGGACUAGACUGGAAAGUAGCAAUGGAACCGAUUCGCUGUUCAAUUUCAUUUCCGAUUCCAAAUCAACGAGUUUUUUAUUGAGGAGGUUUUAUUAUCUUCAAUUGCACGAGUAGAUUAGUGGUACAAGAGAACGUUAAUCCCAUCGCUAGCUGCAAGGGCGAAAGCACGAUUGUAGUGGAGGUAGAGGAGACGAUGCCGAUGGUAGGAGGGUGCUACGACACGUUUUGUAAUCAAAUCUAAAAUUCCCAGCGCGGAGGAACCCGAUGAAAGAGUAACCAGCGGACACAAUCGAAUCGGUCUACAUGCUUGUCACCUGACUUCAAAUAAGCGACCACUGCCCUCCGUUUUCUACCUAGCGUUAUCUGCACACCUUCAGCUUCCUCCUUCCUUUAGAUUGACCUCAGAUUUCCCCGGAGAUUAAAAAAAAGGACUUUCUAUACUAUGAAAGAGUUAAAACGGAAUCCAGAUUUCCUUUUUCAUUCCUGGUAAAGAUUUUCUAUUUUCUUAAACAAACUAGGAUUGCGUUAUGUGUAAACAAUUUUAAAGAUAGAGAUACAACGCGUUUUAAAUAGCGCUAUGUUCAUUGCUCUACAUUUGUGUAUACAAAUGCGUUUCGUCGCACGAAUGUACUUCAAAAUUGAAAUUCUAAUGAUGAGGUAAUAAACGUUUAAUAGGAUA